AGCCGCAAAAAAUAGUCGCAAACGACGAAAACUACGCUUUAGCAGCUUAAUAACCUGCUCUGAGCCCUCUCUCCCUAGCUUCCGCUCUUAAGACGGGGAUCAAAGAGAGGUCAAACCCAAAAGAGAUCGCGUGGAUGCCCUGCCUGGGGUUGAAGCGUUAAAUCUAAUCAGGCUAGUUUGUUAGUGGCGUGUCUGUCCGCAGCUGGCAAGCGAAUGUAAAGACUGACUAAGCAUGUAGUGCCGAGGAUGUAGGAAUUUCGGACGCGGGUUCAACUCCCGC
rnacentral:misc_RNA from 3 species